CGAUCUCGAAGAGGUCCUUGGCGAUCUUGCCGGAGAUGACGCCCUCGCCGAUCAGGUCGACGAUCGCGCCGAGCUGGUCGGCGGAGAUCGGC
rnacentral:tRNA from 1 species